AGCAGGACUUCUGGGAACCCAUGCCUCAAGCGGAGCCAGACUCUUCCAGUUUGGUGGCCGCAGGCUGUUAGAUCCACUCACCCUGUAACCUGAUGCAACAAAAGACAGGCUGUUGUAACUCUGCACAUGUUUAUCUGAGCAGUAACGUGAAUAUGAGACAUUGAAAGGUUUCCCGUUUGAGAUGAUACUUCUUGAAUUAAAUGUUGCUUUUGGUAAUUCGGCUAGGGGCCACCCCUGUUAGCCUGGGCUUGCUCUCCAUCCAGGUUUAUGCUUCCUCUUCAGAGAAGGAGACUUCCAAAAAGGAGUUGUUGAAAAUUGAGGAGCUGUCACUCUACUCCUCUCCAGCUCGUGAGACUAAAUAUGUGGAGAAUCCACAAACCCAACUGGAAGAAGGGGUUUCGCGUUUACGACACGUUAUGGAGCCAUAUACAGCCUGGUGUCAGGAACUUUAUGACAAAGCUAUGCCCAAAUUAGAAAAAGCUGCUGAGCAUGGUAGAGAGGGCUUUGAAUUUCUCCAAAACCCCCCUGCUGGGUUUUAUCCAAGGCUUGGUGUGAUAGGUUUUGCUGGAAUUGUUGGUUUGUUUCUUGCUAGAGGAUCAAAGAUAAAGAAGAUAGUGUAUCCUGUAGGUCUCAUGGGUAUUGGUGCCUCCAUGUAUUACCCUCAGCAAGCGGUUGCUAUUGCAAAGGUUGCUGGUUCGCAGCUGUAUGACUGGAGUCUUCAAGGAUAUAUUACUGUAGAAUCUCUUUGGAAGGAGAAUCCUAAGAAGAAGAAAUCUGGGGAAAAAAGUGAUAAGUACAGCAGUCUGAUGUUCUGAAGCUGACUGGUUGAAGGAUCCAUCUCUUCAGGAUGUUGGGUUGAAAGCCCUCAAAUCACAGAGUCACACAGAAUCACAGAAUCUCAAGGACUGGAAGGGACCUUGAAAGAUCAUCUAGUCCAGCCCCUCUACCAGAGCAGGACCACCGAGACCCAUCUCUGUUUAAUGCUGACUGAGUUUACCAGCAUUAAUGUCUGUCCUUACAUCAGAGGGAUGGACGAACUGUAGCAGCUUGAGGAUUUUUGUGCAACAGCAUAAACUUAAGGACUGUGGUUUUCUAUACAAUGCAUUAUAACUUUUGUGAAGAAAACUGCUUAAACAUGAGUAUUUGAGAGACACACUUCAAUACAUACCACUUCAAUUCUGGAUUCUCUCUCUUCCCAUGACAUUGAAUUGAGUACCCGUUGUUUGUACUGAAGUGGCCAGAAUGUGAAAAAACAGAACAGCACUAGAGCUCCCAAAACAUCCUUCUUUUCAGGUCUUGUUUCUUUCUUUUCUGUUUUUUGUUGGAUUGGGGUUUUUUUCUUAGCAAUCUGUCAUGUGAUUGUUUAAACAGCUUGAAGAGAUUGAGAGAACUCUUGUGGCUUAUUGUUUGCUUUUUCAUUCCUGACCAGUCUGCUGAUAGACACCGUCUGUGAUUUGCCCAUACUAAUAUAUAAGAUAUACUUUUGUUAUCCUAUAGAUGUAUAUUUUAGUGUGUGUAAAAAAAAUAUAUAUAUGAAAUAUUAAAAAAAUAUUAUUAUCUCUGGAUAUUUUAUUAAGUGCUAGCUAAUGAUAAGGCUGUUUCCAAAUGCAGAGUGGGUGCUGGUUCACUGCACUUGCACAUCAAUAAAAUUGUGGACCACGACUUUCCUCACCGGAAAGCUCUGGUGGCAGUUGUGAUGUUAAUGUGUUACCUGGCAAGCUUUACCAUCAGCAUCAUAACUUGUUACUGUAGCAAACCUUAAAUUGUGUUUUAAGAGGAGUUUUUCAGUCAUUUGUGUUUUAAAUAUUCUUUAAAACACAGCAUAAGCAGCUGAGAGAGCUUUGUUCUACAGCGUUUUUAAGACUUGUCUUCAGUAGCUCUUGAAGAGACGAGCAGAAGUUUGCUCAUCAGACCUGACAAUAGUCACCUCUCCUUUUAAUGUUUGAUAGAUGAUUCCAUGAUAGUAAGAACAACAAGAGUAAAACUUGUAAAAAAAUAUUGCUUCUUUUGUAUUGGAGCCUUAGGAUGAUCAGUGGCAAAUUUAAAUGUGUUAGAGGUGGGAAAGACAAAAUCUACUCUGCAAAAAGGUGGGGUUUUUAAGGACAAUUUAGAGUAUCACUUUUUAAAGUGCUUCUUAUUUCAGAGAGAGUUAAGUUCCAGCUCAGCUACAAAUAAAAGGAGAAGUUACUGAUUGACUAGGAGAGGAUGACUAAGGUAAAUUGGUGACAUUCUGUUCAUUCUAAGCAGUAGAACAACUUGCAAACAGAAAAGGACAGAAGAAAAGGGUGAUGCAGAUGGUGGCAAGGCCCUGGAAAUCCAUGCUGCUUCAAAUGAAGAGCGAGCCCGGAAGUAGAACAC